UCUUGCACAAUGCGCGAAAGCGUGAUGCAGCAACGCCGCGUGCGGGAAGACGGCCUUCGGGUUGUAAACCGCUUUCAGUUGGGACGACGGUCGGCGCGUUAAUAGCGGGUCCGACUGACGGUACCUUCACAAGAAGCCCCGGCUAACUACGUGCCAGCAGCCGCGGUAAUACGUAGGGGGCAAGCGUUGUCCGGAAUCAUUGGGCGUAAAGAGCGUGUAGGCGGCCUGAUAAGUCGGCUGUGAAAGUCAAGGGCUCAACCCUUGAAUGCCGGUCGAUACUGUCAGGCUAGAGUCCGGAAGAGGCGAGUGGAAUUCCUGGUGUAGCGGUGAAAUGCGCAGAUAUCAGGAGGAACACCUAUGGCGAAGGCAGCUCGCUGGGACGGUACUGACGCUGAGACGCGAAAGCGUGGGGAGCGAAC
rnacentral:rRNA from 1 species